CAAGUUUUGUUGCGUUAACGUUAUCACUGCAAAUACUGCUAUUUGAAAUCUUAUUUUAUUUUUGAGAUUACAUAAAAGGAUAAAAAUACGAUGCAAAGUCUUGAAUCGACUAAACUCAAAGUAGAGAAUCUGAAAAGGGCAUUGAAGAACGUUAUAGAAAGAGUAGGAGAGUUGAAUAAAGAAAAGGAAUCGGUUCUUCAGUAGUUGCAAGAUUGCAAAAGAAAGUUAAAAGAAGCUUAUGAUCAGGCAGAAGUGAUGCACAAGGAACUGGAAAAUGUUAAACGACUGAAUGAAGAGUGACUGAAAGUUGCCUUGAAUAAAUAUGAAGUAAUGCAUGAUUUCACCUGCGACGAGGGGUGUAGAUCCAUUAUGAGACGUACUUGUAUGCUCUUAAUGGAAUCAAAUUUAGUACACUUAAAGAAAUAAAAAGAAGUUAGAAUUGCUUAUUUUAAAUAAAAAAAUCCAGCUUUAAAAGCGUCGAUUUUCAAAUUUUAAUAACCAGAAAAAAUGUUUCCAAACCGCGGAUACACUGAAAAAUUACAUCGGGAAUUUUUUCCUUGAAUUGACUAGAAGCGAAAAUGACAUCGAAGGUGACGACGUUUGGAAUAUGAAUGAGCCUAAUGAAAAUCUGCAACAUAUGGAUGAAGAAAACUAGGAAGUAGUACAGGAGAAUAAAUAAAUAAAUUUGUUCACAAUUAAGAAUGACUCGCUGCAUACGAAAAGAGAUGACAGCGAAAAUUCAAGCGAAUACAACAGCGACGAAAAUAUGUGCAGUAAAUUGAGAGCUUCCUUCGUCAUGGAACAUUUAAAUGCAUGUGAAAGUUAUUUGAUUCCUUCCUUAAUAACAUUUUUUGGUACAUUAUUCAGCCAGAUUUUUGAUAAAAUUAGCGGUGUUUUUAGUGUUCAUAAAAGUAAUGCAGGAAUGUUGUUACGAAUAUUGUUAUUUGUAAAACAUCGAUGCACAAUAAUUUCAGGUUCUGUUUUCACAAAAAUUAAAGCAUUAUCAUUCU